rnacentral:miRNA from 1 species
UAUUAGGUUGGUGCACAAGUAAUUGUGGUUUUUGCCAUUACUUUCAGUAGCAAAACGCACAAUUACUUGUUG